rnacentral:rRNA from 1 species
UACGGAGGGGGCUAGCGUUGUUCGGAAUUACUGGGCGUAAAGGGCGCGUAGGCGGCGCGAUAAGUUGGGCGUGAAAGGCCCGGGCUCAACCCGGGGACUGCGCUUGAUACUGUCGCGCUGUGAGUCCGGGAGAGGAUGGCGGAAUUCCCAGUGUAGAGGUGAAAUUCGUAGAUAUUGGGAAGAACACCGGUGGCGAAGGCGGCUCACUGGCUCGUAUCUGACACUCAAGCGCGACAGCGUGGGGAUCAAACAGG